AAAGCGGAUGUACAUACGUAGCCGAUAAGGGGGCCUCAUCUCCUCGAGCCUCCAGCGGCCGUCGCGUUCGGACCUUCGCUUUACGUCCUCACUUCGGUGGGGAUCGGCUUAAGCGAUGGCCGUCGCGGCGGCGGACUCGGAGGAUGGGGGGGUGGAUUUCCCUCCUUAGUAGGCAGUCGCGGCCGUUCUAGAGUUGUCUAAGACCCGGGAGUCGGGAACCGUCCGGCGAAUAAUACUCGCGGGCGGGGACGCUCCCUCGAUUCUGGCGGACUCUAGGACGGUUGCUAAAAAAUGACGACGUAGAAGAAAGCAAAUCUCUCGUCGUACGCGGCUGUGAUGCGAUCGUUCAUCCGUCCCGUCUUGAAACACGGACCAAGGAGUCUAACAUGUACGCGAGUCAACGGGUUGGCUAAACCCCAAGGCGCAACGAAAGUAAAAAAGAGCGUGUCCCCUUUAACUCAGAGGGGAAAAGCUCGUUGGGUCGAUCCGUGAUCCACCACUUAUUACUAGAAAUAGUAGUAGGAGGUAGGACCGGCGCAGACCCGGGGCUCGCCUCUACCUCUUCGAGACUUCCUCCUCCUCCGCUUUGCGGCGGCGGCGGUCGUCACGAGGCGGGUGGCGGGCACCUAGAGCGUACAUGCUAGUACCCGAAAGAUGGUGAUCUAUGCUUGGCCAGGAUGAAGCCAGAGGAAACUCUGGUGGAGGUCCGUAGCGAUUCUGACGUGCAAAU
rnacentral:rRNA from 1 species